AUUGAACGCUGGCGGCAGGCCUAACACAUGCAAGUCGAACGCGUGGCGGACGGGUGAGUAAUGUCUGUGAAACUGCCCGAUGGAGGGGGAUAACUACUGGAAACGGUAGCUAAUACCGCAUACCAUCGGAUGUGCCUAUAUGGGAUUAUCUAGUAGGUGGGGUAACGGCUCACCUAGGCGACGAUGCCUAGCUGGUCUGAGAGGAGGACCAGCAAGACAGGAACGUAGACACGGUCCAGAAUCCUACGGGAGGCAGCAGUGGGGAAUAUUGUACAAUGGGCGCAAGCCUGAUGCAGCCAUGCGGCGUGUAUGAAGAAGACCUUCGGGUUGUAAAGUACUUUCAGCGAGGAGGCGUUACUCGCAGAAGAAGCACCGGCUAACUCCGUGCGAGCAGCCGCGGUAAUAC
rnacentral:rRNA from 1 species